UGAUCUUUGGAAAUCAAUCCAGGGAAACUCUUAGCAUGGGUUCUUACGUUGAAAAUUCCAGUAUGUUGCACCCCAUGGCCUUGAAGCAAGAUAGCUUUACCAUCGAUGACAGGGUCUUUUCAUCAAUAUAAAGAGGGUGGAGAUGGUUCUACUUAACGGCUUUCUUCGUGAGAAUAUGGAAGAGUUUCAUGAGCUUGACACGUUCUGACAGGUUGGGUGCUUGAAAAUGUUAACUUGAAGUUCUAAUAUAAAGGUAAGUUAUAAAUCUUUUCAAACAACUUCCAGCAGGGCUAGGAUUUCCAGCAUACUAAUUGGUGUGUGGAAACCUACCUAUCUGUUUUAAGAUGGUUUUUGUUACUUUACAUUAAGCUAACAUUUCAUUAAAGAUAUCUAUAAUGCAAGCUAACUUAGUAUCCAGUAUGUUUUGCCAUAUGAUUAACAAAUGGAAGUUGGUUAUAGAAGUCAAAAAGCAAUUUAAAUCUGAUGGAAAACUACUACUUAU
rnacentral:lncRNA from 1 species